rnacentral:rRNA from 1 species
UACGAGGGGGGCAAGCGUUGUUCGGAAUUAUUGGGCGUAAAGGGUGCGUAGGCGGUUUGGUAAGUCUUAUGUGAAAUCUACAGGCUCAACUUGUAGUCUGCAUGAGAAACUGCCGGGCUUGAGUAUGGGAGAGGUGAGUGGAAUUCCUGGUGUAGCGGUGAAAUGCGUAGAUAUCAGGAGGAACACCUGUGGCGAAAGCGGCGUCACUGACCACUAACUGACGCUGAUGCACGAAAGCUAGGGGAGCAAACAGG